rnacentral:misc_RNA from 1 species
CCUUGGGUCUGCUUGGUUGUUUGUGUUACGAACACCAAGCUUACCUUAAAUGUAUUAGCUGGAUUUCAGUAGAGUUGUUAAGUAACAUUGAAAACUCUCAUAACACGAAAUCUGCUUUCGAACCAGUUUUGUUUUUCUAAAGCAUUACUUUUUCUUUCAAUUUUGGCCUCAAAUCAGGUAGGACUACCCGCUGAACUUAA